UCACCUACUUUUACUUACAAGCUUGUUUCCAUUUUUCUUGCUUUUUAAUCCCUAUUUUUGCAUGGAUCUUUUUUUUUAAUUUACGGUUCAUCAGGAUGCUUCGACUUUUGCAUAAGCCAACCUUUUUUUUAGGUUUUUAACUUAGCAGGCUUUUUUUGGAAUAGUUUUUUUUGGAACAACUCUUGUGAGAUUUUUUACUUUGAUUCAGAAGGUUUGUGAGUGUCAUGUUAGCUAUUGUGAGCUUUGUAUUUUCA
rnacentral:lncRNA from 1 species